AUGGCGCAAUGGUGGGACGGGUGGCAGAUGCUGCUCGCAGAACACGAACACAGACACACAUACAGAGACGCAGAGAGAAUUGCGCAAUGGUGGGACGAGUGGCAGAUGCGCAUCCUCGUUCUCGCCAGCCUCGGCGCCCAAUACCUCCUCGUAUAUUUCGCCGUGGUUCGUAGGUUUCAUAUCCCGCCAUGGGUCAAAGUUUUGUUCCGGCUGGCGCACAUCGGCAGCGACACUCUCGCCCUCUUCGCCAUCGCCACGCUCUUCAACCGCCAAAAAGCUGGGCCGUGCUGCAGCUACGCGCGCGGCAGCCGCGACUUGGAGCUCCUAUGGGCGCCGAUACUGGUGAUGCACCUCGGCGGACAGGUCGUCAUAACCAGCUACAACAUUGAAGACAACGAGCAGUGGAGCCGGCAUAUCUUAACUUCUCUAUCCAAGGUCAGUUCAUAA
rnacentral:rRNA from 1 species